rnacentral:pre_miRNA from 1 species
AAAAGAUGUGAAGAGAGACUGCGACAGACGAUGGAAAUAGACUCAAGUCUAUUGCCAUCGUCUGUCGCAGUCUCUCUUCACAUCUUUUAG